rnacentral:tRNA from 1 species
UGGCUCAGUCAGUAGAGAAUCUGCCUGCAGUGCAGGAGACCUAGGUUCAAUCCCUAG